CUCAUCUAUGUAAUUCUAGGUCCCCAAGUUCGAGGCUGCUCAGAUCUAUCUUCUAAGACUUCUGGACUGAGCUGAGUUGUUGCAAAGGCAACAGAGCUGUCAAGGGGAUGGUAAAUAAUAUCCUAGGGAUCACAGCACCGACCUAUAUGGCAACAUCAGAGGGAUCACUGCACAGACCUACAUGGCACACAAUCAGGCUUGGGAUGAGAUUACAAAUAGUAUUAGGACUGAAAGUCCAACAGAGGUGCAGCCAGUGUCACUGUCUGGAGCAGUAGACUGUGGGGAAUCCAGGCCAGUGAGACAUGCCAUAGAAACACUGGGUACCUGAGUAGAGCAGGGCUGAGGAAGGAAGCUCUGCUCCCUCCAUACUCUCUUAAGGGCUAGUAUAGCCACAGAAUCAACUUUCCCAUAGCUGACCUUGGCUUUCAGUGCUGUAGAAUCCUUAGGACAUUUUAGAAUCCUUUGUAAGUGGCUCUAUCUAAGACAAUAAAACAAAAAUGGGUAAAAUAAUACUGUACUUUUGGGUUACCCUAAGUGGAUUAACUUUUUCAUUAAGAGUAAUCAGUGGAAUCCCAGCUACCUGGGAGGCUGGGGCAUAGAGAUCAUGAGUUCAAGGGCAGCCAAGGCAAUACACCAAGACCCUAGCAUCAAAAAAAGAAAAUAAAUAAUUCAAGCUCCAUUGUUGAUAUUAUUUCCAAUGGAUAAAAAACAUCACAAACAUCCACAAUAAGGGACCGGAUAAACAAAAU
rnacentral:lncRNA from 1 species